GACGAACGUUGGCGGCGUGCUUAAUACAUGCAAGUCAACUGAAGCAGUGGUAGCAAUCUCGCUGUGGAGGUGGCGCACGGGUGAGUAACACGUAGGUAAUCUGCCUUCAGGUCUGGCAUAACUCCGGGAAACCGGGGCUAAUAGCAGAUGAUGCAGCGGCUCGACAUCGAGACAGUUGUUAAAGCUAUGGCGCCUGAAGAUGAGCCUGCGUCUGAUUAGCUAGUUGGCGGGGUAACGGCCCACCAAGGCAACGAUCAGUAGCUGGUCUGAGAGGAUGAUCAGCCACACUGGAACUGAGACACGGUCCAGACUCCUACGGGAGGCAGCAGUAAGGAAUAUUGCUCAAUGGGAGAAAUCCUGAAGCAGCAACGCCGCGUGAGGGACGAAGGGCUUUUGCUUGUAAACCUCUGUAGUGAGAGAAAAAAAUCCCAAUCUUUGGGACAUGAUGGUAUCUCAAAAGUAAGCCCCGGCUAACUACGUA
rnacentral:rRNA from 1 species